AGAGUUUGAUCAUGGCUCAGAAUGAACGUUGGCGGCGUGGAUUAGGCAUGCAAGUCGAGCGAGAAUUUUUGAAUUGAAACUUCGGUCGAGAUUCGAAAAGGACAGCGGCGAAAGGGAGAGUAACGAGUAGAUUACGUACCCAGGGGUUCGGAAUAGCGGGGGGAAACCGCCGGUAAUGCCGAAUAAUGUCUCCGGACCAAAGAUUUAUUGCCCUUGGAGCGGUCUGCUUACUAUUAGCUUGUUGGUGUGGUAAUGGCGCACCAAGGCGAAGAUGGUUAGCGGGUGUGAGAGCAUGGCCCGUCUCACUGGGACUGAGACACUGCCCAGACACCUACGGGUGGCUGCAGUCGAGAAUCUUCCGCAAUGGACGAAAGUCUGACGGAGCGACGCCGCGUGCGGGAUGAAGGCCUUCGGGUUGUAAACCGCUGUCAGAGGGGAGGAAAUUUGACCGUCCUCAAAGAGAC
rnacentral:rRNA from 1 species